rnacentral:rRNA from 1 species
GACGAACGCUGGCGGCGUGCUUAACACAUGCAAGUCGAGCGGCGCGGCGAACGGGUGAGUAACGCGUGAGUAACUGCCCCCCUCUCUGGGAUAACAGUUGGAAACGGCUACUAAUACCGGAUAGUGGGGGAUGACUCGCGUCCUAUCAGCUUGUUGGUGGGGUAGUGGCCUACCAAGGCGACGACGGGUAGCCGGCCUGAGAGGGCGCCCGGCCACAUUGGGCUGAGAUACGGCCCAAACGCGUACGGGAGGCAGCGGUGGGGAAUAUGGCCCAAUGGGGGAAACCCUGAUGAAGAAACGCCGGGUGCGGGAUGACGGGCUUCGGGUUAGAAACCGCUUUCAGCCAUGACGCGGUAGUGGAAGAAGAAGCACCGGCUAACUACGUGCCAGCAGCCGCGGUAAUAC